UACGCACCGAUGGUGGUUUACGAGGACCAUGACCUGAGACCGGCUUAGGAGGACCGGUCAGAAAUGUACGUAAAAUAGGUUAUUACUACGUAAUUCAAAACUAUAUAUACUGAAAGUAUAUAAAUAGACUGAUUUAUGGUGUUUAAAGGCGUUUUAAUUUCAGUGAUGAUACACACUUCGGUUUACGAGGACCGGAUAGAACAAACCGUACGUGGUUUACGAGGACCGGGUAAAAACAAGCCUUACGUGGUUUACGAGGACCGGGUAAAACUAAGCACACAUGGUUUACAUGGUCCACGUUGAGCUAGCGCAUAUCUUUUAAGAUAUGUCAUAUGUGAUAUAUUUAUUUAGCGUUAGAGAGAUCACCAUGUUGAGGUCGAGAGUUCUCUGAUUUCUGACCGUGGUUGCCUGUCAGCACAUCAUUUGGGUUAAUUUAGCAAUACGUCUCUUCAGUAAAAUAAUUAAAAAUGAAUACACUUUUGCGCUAUGCGGGAUUGCUAUUUUUUUUUAAUAAAACCCUGGCAGCUACAGUAAAAACCUACAAUGAUUUGACUUUUUUUAUUUUUGUGUUUUCACUCACGGGAACCCUGCGUCUAUUUUUCGCGCGUUUUGCUCUUGCAACUCGCGGCCAUCAGCCAACACGAUGGUUUGGCAAAUGUUUUGCCUUUUUUUUCGUCGUGAAAACCAAGAAAGAUCGACACACUAUAAUAUAAAGAUGUACAAACGAUGGACAGAAGGAUAAACAAUGGAAUUUGAAAGAAAGUUCCAUUUUAAAAAAUAUCAAUGGAUAUCAAUGGAUAGCACUUAUGGGUGUGGUCAACAGCAAUUCUUACCCCUAAGGGGUAGUAAAUCAGGUGAAUCUCACUUACAAGAUAGACUCCGAGAAAGCUACCAGCUUAGAAGCAUGAUGCUAGGGCAGGAUUUAUGUAAGGCGAUUGUAUUAAUGCAGCUCAGCAAAAAUUAACACAACCUGAGUAACAAACAGAUAGAUAAUAAUUUUACCAAUGAAAAUUUUCUAAAAAACUGAACCAGAAUAAUAUAAUAAACUUUGUUGGUAAAAAUAGGUUUUCUUUUUUUUUUUUUUUUGCACACAAAUAUCAUGCUUAAUGUACCGUGAACCCCCUAAUAAUUUAAUAUGGGGUUCUAGUGUGUCUAUGGUUCUCUACAAGGAGGUUCAGUGUUUCGGACCUUUCAGAAAAGGGUACAUUUCAAAGACUAUUAGCCGAAAAAGCAAAGAAGAAGGAGUUUCUAAAACUUUUCCGCUAAUAUUUGCAAUAUUUCUACUAGAAAAAUUAUUUAUUCACCUUGGCAAAUACAAUAUACACUAAACUAGCGUAAUCUUCUGAUAUGCUUUUAUAUAGAAUGUAUAGUGUUUUAAUGUAUAGACUUAAAUUCUGAAGAGAAUAAAAAACACCCAUUUUGCUGUA